UGCUACCCGGCGACCAGCACUGGCCUGGUGGGGAACAUGAGUCUAGGCGGGCUGGGGUUAGAGCGAAUCACCCCAGUAGUCCCAGGAAGUGGAAACAUUGUGGUCCACACCUUACAAAUGAGGAUACGUAGCUCAAAGAGGCAAGCGGACUCCUAAAUGGCGCUCUUGUCGGAGUGUUACCUGAAAAACUGGCUUUGCCUUUUGGUGGGUGUCAAGCCAGAAGACAAAGAGUGGGAGAAGGAAGGAUUUAUUACUUGGAACAAAUCAUUACUGAGACCUGUUGAAGGGCAAGCGUUGUGGCCAGGCUUAAAAUGACUUAGGCCAAAAAUGGCUUUUCUUAUGUCAAGAAAGCCAUGCCCAGGGGAUUCCCUGGUGGUGCAGUGGUUGAGAAUCUGCCUGCCAAUGCAGGGGACACGGGUUUGUGCCCUGGUCUGGGAAGAUCCCACAUGCCGCGGAGCAAAUGGGCCCGUGAGCCACAACUACUGAGCCUGCGUGUCUGGAGCCUGUGCUCCGCAACAAGAGAGGCCGCGAUAGUGAGAGACCCACGCACCGCGAUGAGGAGUGGACCCCGCUUGCCGCAACUAGAGCAAGCCCUCGCACAGAAACGAAGACCCAACACAGCCAAAAAUAAAUAAAUAAAAAUUUUUUUAAAAA